rnacentral:rRNA from 1 species
CCUACGGGAGGCUGCAGUGAGGAAUAUUGGUCAAUGGACGAGAGUCUGAACCAGCCAAGUAGCGUGAAGGAUGACUGCCCUAUGGGUUGUAAACUUCUUUUAUAUGGGAAUAAAACGUUCCACGUGUGGGAUUUUGUAUGUACCAUAUGAAUAAGGAUCGGCUAACUCCGUGCCAGCAGCCGCGGUAAUACGGAGGAUCCGAGCGUUAUCCGGAUUUAUUGGGUUUAAAGGGAGCGUAGGUGGAUUGUUAAGUCAGUUGUGAAAGUUUGCGGCUCAACCGUAAAAUUGCAGUUGAAACUGGCAGUCUUGAGGACAGUAGAGGUGGGCGGAAUUCGUGGUGUAGCGGUGAAAUGCUUAGAUAUCACGAAGAACUCCGAUUGCGAAGGCAGUUCACUGGACUGCAACUGACACUGAGGCUCGAAAGUGUGGGUAUCAAACAGGAUUAGAUACCCGGGUAGUC